rnacentral:rRNA from 1 species
UGAGAAUGUUGGCAUGAGUAGCGAGACGUGGGUGAGAAUCCCACGGGCCGUAAACCCAAGGUUUCCAGGGGAAGGUUCGUCCGCCCUGGGUUAGUCGGGACCUAAGCCGAGGCCGAAAGGCGUAGGUGGUGGACAACAGGUUGAUAUUCCUGUACCGCCAAUAAGCGUUUGAGAGAUGGAGUGACACAGUAGGAUAAGCUAACCGUACUGUUGGUUAUGUACGGCUAAGCAUUGAGGCAGUCUAAAUAGGCAAAUCCGUUUAGACAAUGCUAGGAUGUGAUGGGGAAGCCCUUCGGGGCGAAGUAGCUGAUUUCACACUGUCAAGAAAAGCUUCUAUCGAGUUUAAAGGCGCCCGUACCGUAAACCGACACAGGUGGGUGAGGAGAGUAUCCUAAGGCCAGCGAGAGAACUAUUGUUAAGGAACUCGGCAAAAUGACCCCGUAACUAGGGAGAAGGGGUGCCUGUCUAUGACAGGCCGCAGAGAAUAGGCCCAAGCGACUGUUUACCAAAAACACAGGUUUCUGCUAAGUCGCAAGACGAUGUAUAGGAGCUGACGCCUGCCCGGUGCUGGAAGGUUAAGGGGAUCUGUUAGAGCAAUCGAAGCAGUGAACUUAAGCCCCAGUAAACGGCGGCCGCAACAAUAACGGUCCUAAGGUAGCGAAAUUCCUUGUCGGGUAAGUUCCGACCCGCACGAAAGGCGUAACGAUUUGGGCACUGUCUCAACAAUAGACUCGGUGAAAUUGUAAUCCCGGUGAAGAUGCCGGGUACCUGCGACAGGACGGAAAGACCCCAUGGAGCUUUACUGUAGCUUGACGUUGGGUCUUGGUACUACAAGUACAGGAUAGGUGGGAGACUAUGAAGCAUGGACGCCAGUCUGUGUGGAGUCAUCCUUGGGAUACCACCCUUGUAGUACUGGGAUCCUAACCAUAGGCCUUGAAUCAGGUCUUGGAACACCGUCAGGUGGGCAGUUUGACUGGGGCGGUCGCCUCCUAAAAAGUAACGGAGGCGCUCAAAGGUUUCCUCAGCACGGUCGGAAAUCGUGCGAAGAGUGUAAAGGCAAAAGGAAGCUUGAUUGCAAGACAUACAGGUCGAGCAAGGACGAAAGUCGGACUUAGUGAUCCGGUGGUACCGCAUGGAAGGGCCAUCGCUCAACGGAUAAAAGCUACCCUGGGGAUAACAGGCUUAUCUCCCCCAAGAGUCACAUCGACGGGGAGGUUUGGCACCUCGAUGUCGGCUCAUCACAUCCUGGGGCUGUAGUAGGUCCCAAGGGUUGGGCUGUUCGCCCAUUAAAGUGGUACGCGAGCUGGGUUCAGAACGUCGUGAGACAGUUCGGUCCCUAUCCGUCGCAGGCGUAGGAAAUUUGAGAAGACCUGUCCUUAGUACGAGAGGACCGGGAUGGACGUACCUCUGGUGUACCAGUUGUUCUGCCAAGGGCAUGGCUGGGUAGCUAUGUACGGAAUGGAUAAGCGCUGAAAGCAUCUAAGCGCGAAGCCAACUUCAAGAUAAGAUUUCCCACCGUAAGGGUAAGACCCCAGGAAGACUACCUGGUUGAUAGGUCGAAGGUGUAAGUGCAGUAAUGUAUUUAGCUUAUCGAUACUAAUAGGUCGAGGACUUGACC